UUCCUGAGUGGAGCCCAGUUUUUAUUUUAGGAUCUACAACUCUGGAAGACAGAUCCUGCUUCCAGUCACAUCUGUAAAUAAUGGAGAAAGGCUUCUCUGCUCUCUAUGCCUCAUGCUUUCAUCAGAAUGGGAUUGUAUCCUGAAAUAAGGGGGACAUCAUUGAAUUGAAGACUAUGUGGAAAAGAUUCUCAAGCAGCCACAAUAUGGAACCCAUAACAGGUGUCAGUACAUUUCAAUUAUUUUGAAUAUGAACAUGUAGUCACAUCACCCAGAGGAGAGGAAGCAGUGUGACUGUGAACUAGGACUCGGCUGCCUUGUGACGUUCCCAUCUCCUGUCAACUCUCAAAGGCAUGCAUUGGACUACAGGAAUUCAUUGUGGACAGAAACUUCAAGGUGCCACCAUUGCCUGUCACACAUACAAGAACCCUGCAGGUGCCUGGUGAAUGCACAUCCAUCUCAUCCCUGUACAUCUUCUUUUGGAAAAGAUGGACACCCACC